UGCCCGAAGAAAGUGAAGGGGUCCCUCCUCCUCUAAACAUAAACAUCGAGGAACCUCUGAUUGUGGACCGCGGUGCACCCAAUCCACGACGACGAGCGGGUCGGCGUGCCGAAAGAACUCCGCCACCUCCUGUGGAUCUAGAUGCUAGUCGAGACCCGGACCUCGACUUAAAUACUUAUAUUGGAGCUUUGAACCCCUCUGGGUUCGCUCACUGCGAAAUCGCCUUGAAUGGCGUUCCAAGGUUGCUUCCGAUUGGCCGUUCUGGGGACGGCGAGUAUGAACAAGUGAUGACCCAUGCAACCUUGGACGGGUCUGAUGGAG
rnacentral:lncRNA from 1 species